GCGCAUCCCAGCCUGGCGUGGGACAGGGAAGAGAAAUGGCUGCAGUGGAGCCAACUCAGGGGCCUGUGACCUUCGAGGAGGUGGCUGUGCAUUUCACCAAGGAAGAGUACACUCUGCUGGGCCCCACUCAGAGAGCCCUCUACUGGGAUGUCAUGCAGCAGAACUAUGAGACUGUGACCUCGCUGGGGUUUCUAGUUUUCCAGCAUGAUGUGAUCUCCCAGCUGGAACAAGGGGAAGAGCCAUGC